UUACCUGGGCUUGAACUGCUGGUGGUAGAAGCCCGAAAGGGUAACGACCCGGAGCAAUCCGGGAGCCAGUAGAGGUGCUGCAUGGCUGUCGUCAGCUCGUGUCGUGAGAUGUUGGGUUAAGUCCCGCAACGAGCGCAACCCUUACCCUUAGUUGCCAGCGGGUAAUGCCGGGCACUCUAAGGGGACCGCCCCGGAUAACGGGGAGGAAGGCGGGAUGACGUCAAGUCAGCAUGGCCCUUAUGUCCAGGGCUACACACGUGCUACAAUGGGCGAUACAGAGGGAAGCAAGGCCGCAAGGUAGAGCUAAUCCCUAAAGUCGUCCUCAGUUCGGAUUGCAGGCUGCAACUCGCCUGCAUGAAGUCGGAAUCGCUAGUAAUCGCGGAUCAGCUACGCCGCGGUGAAUACGUUCUCGGGCCUU
rnacentral:rRNA from 1 species